rnacentral:rRNA from 1 species
UACGGAGGGGGCUAGCGUUGUUCGGAAUUACUGGGCGUAAAGCGUGCGCAGGCGGUUUUGUAAGUCUGAUGUGAAAUCCCCGGGCUCAACCUGGGAAUUGCGAUGGAGACUGCAAGGCUUGAAUCUGGCAGAGGGGGGUAGAAUUCCACGUGUAGCAGUGAAAUGCGUAGAGAUGUGGAGGAACACCGAUGGCGAAGGCAGCCCCCUGGGUCAAGAUUGACGCUCAUGCACGAAAGCGUGGGGAGCAAACAGG